UUAUAUUUUCCAGUGUAGUCUUGUCCUACAAUAGGAAAAUUUGGUGCAAUGCAUCCAAGAAAAAAAAUGCUCUAAGACCGAUAUCUGCAGUUGUAAUGGGGGGAUGCUCUGGUAAUUCGAUUGGCUUCAGUUUAAGCUCACAAUGUGUUUGUAGAAAUUACUAUAUAGAAAUGUUAAUAGAGGAAAUAUAUUUAGACUGCUCGUGAAAAGCAUGGCUGCUUAAAGAAUUUGAGUUAUGCACUCAUUCAGGGUCUUAGUUGACAUCAUAUGUUGCUGUAUUUUUUCCUACCCUAUCAAGUUUCAAGAAAUAAAUUAUCUUAUAUUUCCAAAAAGUAACUUUUCUUGUAAAUCUUUGUUGGAUGGUGAUGGAGAUCCUUGUGUUUAUUUUGUUAUUUUUAUUGUUUGUAAAUUAAUAAAAUGUUUACUCAGUGACCAGUGUUUAAAAAAAAUGGAAAAGAUGAUAAUGCCCGAUUCAAGUCUGCGCUUUGUAAUGGUUGUGAUUAUAAAUCUUAUUAUCAG
rnacentral:misc_RNA from 1 species